rnacentral:tRNA from 1 species
GCCCGAAUAGCUCAGUUGGUAGAGCAUUAGACUUUUAAUCUGAGGGUCCAGUGGUCAAGUCCUGGCG